rnacentral:tRNA from 1 species
GUGACAGUAGUUUAACAGGAAAAACUUCGUGAUUCCGACCCGAAAGUUGCGAGUUCAAAUCUCGUCUGUCACUA